CCCGAUAGACAUUAUGCCUGGAAUGGUUUAUGUUUCAAAUGAUUUAUCGCCAUAGGAUGGGACUGCGGCCUAUCAGUUUGUUGGUGAGGUAAUGGCCCACCAAGACUAUUACAGGUACGGGCUCUGAGAGGAGUAGCCCGGAGAUGGGUACUGAGACACGGACCCAGGCCCUAUGGGGCGCAGCAGGCGAGAAAACUUUGCAAUGUGCGAAAGCACGACAAGGUUAAUCCGAGUGGUUUCUGCUAAAGAAACCUUUUGUCAGUCCUAGAAACACUAACGAAUAAGGGGUGGGCAAGUUCUGGUGUCAGCCGCCGCGGUAAAACCAGCACCUCAAGUGGUCAGGAUGAUUAUUGGGCCUAAAGCAUCCGUAGCUCGUUUUGUAAGUUUUCGGUUAAAUCCAUGCGCUUAACGUAUGGGCUGCCGGGAAUACUGCAUAACUAGGAAGUGGGAGAGGUAGACGGUACUCGGGAGGAAGGGGUAAAAUCCUUUGAUCUAUUGAUGACCACCUGUGGCGAAGGCGGUCUACCAGAACACGUUCGACGGUGAGGGAUGAAAGCUGGGGGAGCAAACCGGAUUAGAUACCCGGGUAGUCCCAGCUGUAAACUAUGCAAACUCAGUGAUGCAUUGGCUUAUGGCCAAUGCAGUGCUGCAGGGAAGCCGUUAAGUUUGCCGCCUGGGAAGUACGUACGCAAGUAUGAAACUUAAAGGAAUUGGCGGGGGAGCACCACAAGGGGUGAAGCCUGCGGUUCAAUUGGAGUCAACGCCAGAAAUCUUACCCGGAGAGACAGCAGAAUGAAGGUCAAGCUGAAGACUUUACCAGACAAGCUGAGAGGUGGUGCAUGGCCGUCGCCAGCUCGUGCCGUGAGAUGUCCUG
rnacentral:rRNA from 1 species